rnacentral:lncRNA from 1 species
CUGUACGUGGUACUGUGAAGUCUCAUGCAUGAUGAUAUUGGAAUUGGAGUAUUUCUUCCUUUGUUCAUACAGGUCCUUCCCGCUCAGCUUGGAGGCUCCGUCCGCUUUGCCCAUGCUGCCAUUUGUUGAGCCAGGGCUGCUGCUGAGGGAUCCCUUGAGACUCAUGUUGCUUCACAGGACGGGCAGCGAUGCUGAGCAGCCCCUCGUGUCCCCAGAUGGUCCCCUGGGCUCCUCUCGCUCCUGUCCCAGAUAGCCG